rnacentral:rRNA from 1 species
GGGUUGUGAGGUUAAGCGACGUAAGCGUACACGGUGGAUGCCCUGGCAGUCAGAGGCGAUGAAGGACGUGCUAAUCUGCGAAAAGCGUCGGUAAGGUGAUAUGAACCGUUAUAGCCGGCGAUGUCCGAAUGGGGAAACCCAGUGCAAUUCGUUGCACUAUCGUUAACUGAAUACAUAGGUUAACGAGGCGAACCGGGGGAACUGAAACAUCUAAGUACCCCGAGGAAAAGAAAUCAACCGAGAUUCCCCCAGUAGCGGCGAGCGAACGGGGAGCAGCCCAGAGUCUGAAUCAGCUUGUGUGUUAGUGGAACGGUCUGGAAAGUCCGACGGUACAGGGUGAUAGUCCCGUACACCAAAAUGCACAGGUUGUGAACUCGAAGAGUAGGGCGGGACACGUGGUAUCCUGUCUGAAUAUGGGGGG